GCUUUUUUGGACAACUUCGGUGAAAAAGUGUUGAUUUCGUAGUUCAGUCAGCCUAACUUAUAUCCGAGAGGUCUUACAGGCGCCACAGACACCUAUCAGCCUUUUGUAAGGAGGAGCAGCUCGAGUGCGGUGCGGUCAGUAGCCCUUCAAAUUAGAAAAGUGAGGAUGAUCUUGUCAAUGCUGAGAUUUUCAUGCAUCAGCAGCCACUACAUCUGGAUCAGAUUGAACAAGAAACAGACAGCAAGGGUUGUCAGAUCAGAAACAGAAUGACACACAAACACAAGAAACUUCACAGGCAGAUCAACAUGCAAUUUGAAGACGUGUGAUAAAAUACAGAGAGGUGAAGUAGUGUGUCUUUCCAGAUCCCCAAAGCAUUCCCCCUUAAAAGAUGAGCCUGAAGAGGAGAUUUGGGAAGAUGUUGUCUCAUAAGUCGCUUUGCCAGAUCACCUGUGGUAAGUUUGUAAAACAUAUAUUAAAAAUAGGAUUAGAACAUCUCCUAAUCAAAAGUUUUUGAUCAGGUCGGGAUGUCUGCUAACAAGAUGCCUU